rnacentral:rRNA from 1 species
UACGGAGGGUGCUAGCGUUGUUCGGAAUUACUGGGCGUAAAGGGCGCGUAGGCGGCCGUUUGCGUCGGAUGUGAAAGCCCGGGGCUCAACCUCGGAACGGCAUUCGAUACGGGACGGCUGGAGACCGGGAGAGGAGAGUGGAAUAGCCAGUGUAGAGGUGAAAUUCGUAGAUAUUGGCUGGAACACCGGUGGCGAAAGCGGCUCUCUGGCCCGGUUCUGACGCUGAGGCGCGAAGGCGUGGGGAGCAAACAGG